CUUUAUUCAAUAACGCGUUGGUAUCUAGCCAGGAAAAUAUUAUUUUAUCUCUUUAACAGAUGUGCUCUGAGCUGUUUGGGGCCUCCAAGUGAUAGAUCUUCCCCGAGUCUUGCAGGCGUUUGCCAUUACAGUGCACGGAAGGCCAGUGCUGGCAUCUAUCCUGAGCUGAUGGGAGUCGCGGAGAUGUAAUGACGCUGUUGACACCGGGCGCUGGAUGUACGGAGCAGCUCGCCUCUGCAGGCUUUUGCCUCGGAACCUUUUGCUUUAGGUUCUAAUCAGCAAAAAUGGGUGACUAAAUAUAGUUACUACUGAUUGUCUGGCACUCUGAAGCAGUUGUUAAGGACAGGAGUAAAGCCUGUCAAGCAGUGGAGAGCGAGAAUCCAGCGACCCUCCCCAAGGGAUGCUGUGUUUAAGUUCCUGGGAAAGACACAGGGAUGCUGAAUGAGGCCAGGAGAGAUGAGGCAAGAAGAGCUCCCAGAUGCAUUUUCUGUCGCGGUGCUGGAGCCRCCCCCCAUCAUCGGUGCACGCGGUGCCGUCACGCUGUCCUGGCACCGGG
rnacentral:lncRNA from 1 species